GGAGGCCAGGCCACCGCUCCCUUCCAGCUACCCUAGCUGGGGCACCAGAGAGAGAAAUCUAGGGCUGCUGUGCAACCCGCCAACCAGGCGCUGUCUGGAGGUGCUACCUGUCCGUUCAGGUCACCUGUGCGGGCUGAGAGGUCUCUGGACGCCAGUAGCGCAGGGUGCGUUUUCUUUUAGGAACAGAAAGAGCAAGCUCACCCGGACACGCACACACAGGCACAAACGCACCCUGACGACCAGGACAUGCUCAGACUUAUGCCGAACCACAGCCACAGCCACGGAGACACACCCGCGCCCGCUCAUUCUGGAGAUGACAGCUGUCUCCUGGUCCAACAGAGAGGUGGCUGUAAACAAACCCAGGAACACCCAGAAGCAGGAGGAAAGAAACACACAUAAGCGCUCCUGUGGAGACAUGGAGUGCGGACCACUCAGACACCGGUGUCCACAUCCAGUUCUCCACAGGAUCCCUCUGAGAUCUCUCCUCCUGGGUCUGGGAUACCCUGGACUACUAUGGCCGAUGUCUCUGCCAACAGUGCUUCCUUUAGUUGAUGAUGUUAAAACAUUGAUAUCUGGACCAUCCUCAGACAAGCUGCCAGUCACUUCGCCAUCACCUUGGCAACCGUGAAGUGGAGCAGCGCAACCAGCAAAGCUCUCCAAACAGGUGAGCCGUGGGAAGCAGAGAGACAGAGACCUGGGGCAGCACUGCAGCGAAGCAGUUGCACAGAAACCCCAGGCCUUUGCAGGUGCUGAGAUCUGUAAACUCCAUUUCUGAGGAUUUCUUGCUGGGUGUCUUGAUGAUCUCACUGGCAGCCAGGGAUAGUUGGUACUCACUGCCAGCUCAUCUCAGCGCCCCUGGAACCAGCAAAUUGGAGAAGGCAUCUGAUGUGAUAUUCGGAGAAAGCGUUUGGGCUCCAGAGAAGAUCCCUCUGGGAAUGGAAAAAAGAAGUGCCUGUCGUGGUGUUUGGGAGCGUGAGACGAUGAAGGGGUGUUCAGUGUUCUGUUUCUAGAUCUUUACAGCUCUACCCAGCUCCACACAUUUCAUUGCUAGAAAUCAAAAGAUAAUAAACUUUAAGUCUAUAAUCA
rnacentral:lncRNA from 1 species